rnacentral:misc_RNA from 1 species
UAAAAAAAAAAAAAAAACUAAUCUAGCUCAAGAGAGGUUAAUGCCUCAUUUUUCAUCACUAGGAGGCUAGAUUACAUACAAGCCCUUUUUUUGAACAUUUUCGAAAGUUGCUGAUUAGUUCAGUUUGCUAUUGAUUCCAUAUAAACUUUUUUCUUUUUCCUUUAAUUUUUAUUUACUUUUCCUAUUAGCGAAUCUGCUAAUGAAGUGUCUGUAAACAGAAAUCAAAGGACAUUCCGCCCCAAAAAGAGUGCACCAUCAGGAAGUAAGGUCGGUUUUCAUUGUUUAAUUAGUAAUGUUGGCAAUCUCUUCUUUGGUGGCUAAGCGUAAUAUGAUAUAUGAUCUCAUAUAAUGAUUUGACUUUCCAAAUGAUUAUAUGUUGCUUGGGCAAUUAUAUUUGUCUUCUUUUGGAAACUGUUAAUUAUUAAUUGACAAUUUCUUUUGCAGUUGCAUGUAGCGAGAAUCACUUUGCUAUCAUUUUUUACUGAUGGAUGGUUUGAAAUGGGCAUGUUAGAGGAAAUCACAUGUUUAUGUUUGGAGUUCUACUGUUCAAAUUUUUGCAAAUUUGGGCAAAUGGCUUUUUGAUGAAUUUAGGACAUCCUUGAAAUUUCAUUGGUAGAGUGGUGAAUGUAGGACGCUAUUACUGUUUUUGGUUUGAGCAUAAGUAUAUAAAAAAAAUGUGAGUUGUGGAUACUGCAUAGGGAAAGGAAAACUUGUCUCUUCCUACUCCUCAAGAAUGUCUAGGUACCCAUAUAUUUUGUUUGAGAGAGAUUUCUAGGAUGUUGAGAGACUAUCUGCUUAUCAGAAUUUUUUCAGCAUCCAAUUAUUUGAAGUACCUUUGAGUUGUGUCUAAAUUAGGAAUGUUCCAAGAAGGUGGCGUGUUCUUUAUUCUGUGGGCCACUAAAUAUGAACUUGAAAAAUGAAAUCUUGUAUGUCUAGAGAUUCAUUUUCACUUUCUGUUGCCUGAUUCUUUAGUGGGCAAUAAAUGUUGCUCAGAAUUUGACACUUCUCCUCCCCUCUUUUGGCACUCGUUUUAUUAAUGGAACCUUUUUUCCCGUCAACUAUUAGAAGACAAAAAAAUAAUUUGGCAACUGCCUCCAAAACAUGCUACAAUUCACACUAGAAUUGGAUCAUGAAGAGUCCGACAUUGGAAAAGAAUAAGGAAUUUAAAGGGCUUAUAAGGGUGGAAGGCCAGCUAACUAAUUGGGUAGUUCUAACCUUUUAGCAAUGGCUGGUCCAAGCCCAAGUAAGCCCAUCUCACUCCACCCUCUCAUUUACCUUUGUUCGUUUAAUUCUAGUUUGUGAUAUGGUAUUAGAGUAGAUCUGGCCAAAUUCAAUUCAAGUGUCAAGGUUCCCGGCUGUGUCAAAGUUCAAGGUUUCUGGGGGAAGGAUUUCAAGUUUCAAGUGUCAACCAAAAUGGUUACCACUUGAGGGGGAGUGUCAAUAGUCCUGCAUUGGAAAAGAAUAAGGAAUUUAAAGGGCUUAUAAGGGUGGAAGGCCAGCUAACUAAUUGGGUAGUUCUAACCUUUUAGCAAUGGCUGGUCCAAGCCCAAGUAAGCCCAUCUCACUCCACCCUCUCAUUUACCUUUGUUCGUUUAAUUCUAGUUUGUGAUAUGGUAUUAGAGUAGAUCUGGCCAAAUUCAAUUCAAGUGUCAAGGUUCCCGGCUGUGUCAAAGUUCAAGGUUUCUGGGGGAAGGAUUUCAAGUUUCAAGUGUCAACCAAAAUGGUUACCACUUGAGGGG